rnacentral:rRNA from 1 species
CGCGUAGGCGGCCUUUUAAGUCUUGUGUGAAAUCCCUCGGCUCAACUGAGGAACUGCACGGGAUACUGGAAGACUUGAGUUCGGGAGAGGGAAGCGGAAUUCCGGGUGUAGCGGUGAAAUGCGUAGAUAUCCGGAGGAACACCGGUGGCGAAGGCGGCUUCCUGGACCGAUUACUGACGCUGAGGCGCGAAAGCUAGGGGAGCAAACG